AAUUAGGGAUCCUGUUGCUUCCUUCCAUCCAUCCAAUCCCUCACCCGCCGCCACCACUCUCUCCCUUGGGAUCCUCCCAGAUCCCCUCCUCAUAUCCUCCCGCAGCAACCACCAAUCCACCUCGUCUUCGGCGCUGGGCCAACCAGUGGCCGAGCCCGAGCUCCACUCGAUCCCUCUCCUUCCCGACGACAUGGACAUGCCGCCGCCGCCUGUAGCUUCCAUGCCCGCCGACCACGACCAGCUCCGCUAGGCCGGCCUCGCCCCAUGCCUUCCCUCCUUCCUUUUCUUUCUCCCUCUCUCUUUUCUUACCUCUCUCCUCGUCAUAACAGGAGCAGCCAUGGCGCCCGAGCACAUCGAGUUCGUCAGCCUAUCAGAUGGAUUCAGCUCGCGCCCCUCUCUCUAGACCUGCAGGAAACAUGGAGCCCGAAGCCAUGGCCGCGCCUCCCAUUUUCCUCGACCCUGGCGUUGCCAAGUUCCUCGUCGCCGGACGCCGAUGCCCCGCCUCAAGCCACUGCCGCCGGUCACCGAGCCCACCCUGACCUCGACCUGGACCGCUCCAGCGACCACGCCCGUUGACGCUGUCGCUCCGCGAGUCGCUGGACCUCGCCAGAUUUCACUGUCAGGUCCAUGCCGCCCUUGCCUCCACUCCGUCAGCACGCGCCACCGGAGCCCCGAUUUGCUACAGCCCCAAGCGCCUCACCCGUGCACCCGCCCUGAUGGCCUCCUCUACCCCGAGAUCUUCUCCCAUGGAUCCCUCCUUCUCCCCGCGUCGAGCACCAGCGCUCCAGGACCGGCGUUCUGCUGUUCGUCCUCGUCGGCUCUCGCAACACCGGCGCUGCCGGCAGCCGCGCCGCUUGAUCCACCUCACCGACGACAGCACUAGCAGGUCCCCGCCAUGGAUGCAGGAGCAUGAGCUCCCUCCUCCUCGUUGCACGCAUCGCCUGUCGGAGUCGCCCCGGUCGCCGCCUCGCCAGGCUUCGUCGGCCGGUGACCUUCGCGUUGAGGUGCCGGAGUUCACGCCCCCUGCACCUACAUCGCGCCUCUGCCGUCCUCUGCAUCGAAGCAGUUACAGAGGAGGACGAGCGCCUCGAACCCCCUUGUAUCGCUCGCUUUGACCGCGCCAGCGCGUGGGCCGCGCCAGGCCCAGCGCCCCUUCCGGCAUGCGGCUUCCUCCUCCACCCACCGGGCCAGGCCCACUGGUGUUGCUUCUUCGGGUUGGUUCUGAUAACGUCGCGUUUGUGAGGAUUCGUUCAACUUCGUCCGCUUGUCUACUUCAUCGACUCGUUCUUCUUCCUUGCGGGAUCUCAGGCAAGAUGACCAUACCCUCAAAAUCACUUCUAUCUUUGCUUGCUAGUUGUUCGCUCUAUUGAUAUGCCGCGAUACCUACCACUUGCUAUAUCAUGCCUCCCAUAUUGCCAUGUCGAGCCUCUAACCCAUCUUCCUAGCAAACCGUUGUUUGGCUGUGUUACCGCUUUUGCUCAGCCCCUCUUAUAGCGUUGCUAGUUGCAGGUGAAGUUGAAGUUUGUUCCAUGUUGGAACAUGGAUACGUUGGGAUACCACAAUAUCUAUUAUGUUAAAUUAAUGCAUCUAUAUACUUGGUAAAGGGUGGAAGGCUCGACCUUGUGCCUAGUGUUUUUUUCCACUCUUGCCGCUCUAGUUUCCGUCAUACCAGUGUUAUGUUCCUUGAUUUUGCGUUCCUUACGUGGUUGAGUGUUAUGGGAACCCCUUGACACUUCGCUUUGAAUAAAACUCCUCCAGCAAGGCCCAACCUUGGUUUUACAUUUUCCUAAC